GCAGGCACCGCUGGGAAGCUCUGGGGGUGUGUAAGCCGCUGCGGUUUCCUGGGCUGAGGACUGGAAAGCGAGGGCUGAAAAAGCCUGUUUUUCAGGCAGUCCCUGACCUCUACAUCUGAAACCUCAGCAUAAAGGACAACAAAGAAUGUCAGGAAAUGGCAAAUGACAAGACCUGCCAGCUACCAGCUUGAGAGAAGUCAGCGACCUGCAGGAUGUCAUUCCAGGCAUGCUGGUGAGGGAAAAAAAAAAAAGCUUUGCCGAAUCCCAAAGGAGAUGUACUUUACAAGUCACAGCUUACCAAUGAAGUAACUGAGACUCAAAAACCUCAAGCGCAGAAGUUCAUCUAAAAACUCUUUGAUCUAUAACCCAGGGACCAAAUUGAAGACUAUCUGCAUUUUUUGCAAGACUCUGUAUCUGUGCCAAGUUCCGGUGCCCUGCCGUGCUUUUAUGUCUGCUCUGACAGCCUCCUGGCUGUCCUCUGAGCAGGCUUGUCUCAUCUCCAGUGUCCCCUGACACUCCAGUUUCUUCAUGCUCCUCGUCCUUCCUUGGGCUUUUAUUCAACAGUUUGAAACUCUCUAAAAACAAAACCCUUCUAUUUAAUAUUGAAAGCAU